GACGAACGCUGGCGGCGUGCCUAAUACAUGCAAGUAGAACGCUGAAGAGAGGAGCUUGCUCUUCUUGGAUGAGUUGCGAACGGGUGAGUAACGCGUAGGUAACCUGCCUGGUAGCGGGGGAUAACUAUUGGAAACGAUAGCUAAUACCGCAUAAAAUGGAUUAUCGCAUGAUAAUCCAUUGAAAGGUGCAAAUGCAUCACUACCAGAUGGACCUGCGUUGUAUUAGCUAGUUGGUGGGGUAACGGCUCACCAAGGCGACGAUACAUAGCCGACCUGAGAGGGUGAUCGGCCACACUGGGACUGAGACACGGCCCAGACUCCUACGGGAGGCAGCAGUAGGGAAUCUUCGGCAAUGGACGGAAGUCUGACCGAGCAACGCCGCGUGAGUGAAGAAGGUUUUCGGAUCGUAAAGCUCUGUUGUAAGAGAAGAACGAGGGUGAGAGUGGAAAGUUCACACUGUGACGGUAUCUUACCAGAAAGGGACGGCUAACUACGUG
rnacentral:rRNA from 1 species